GGGACACGUGGUAUCCUGUCUGAAUAUGGGGGGACCAUCCUCCAAGGCUAAAUACUCCUGACUGACCGAUAGUGAACCAGUACCGUGAGGGAAAGGCGAAAAGAACCCCGGCGAGGGGAGUGAAAAAGAACCUGAAACCGUGUACGUACAAGCAGUGGGAGCACGCUUAGGCGUGUGACUGCGUACCUUUUGUAUAAUGGGUCAGCGACUUAUAUUCUGUAGCAAGGUUAACCGAAUAGGGGAGCCGAAGGGAAACCGAGUCUUAACUGGGCGUUAAGUUGCAGGGUAUAGACCCGAAACCCGGUGAUCUAGCCAUGGGCAGGUUGAAGGUUGGGUAACACUAACUGGAGGACCGAACCGACUAAUGUUGAAAAAUUAGCGGAUGACUUGUGGCUGGGGGUGAAAGGCCAAUCAAACCGGGAGAUAGCUGGUUCUCCCCGAAAGCUAUUUAGGUAGCGCCUCGUGAAUUCAUCUCCGGGGGUAGAGCACUGUUUCGGCAAGGGGGUCAUCCCGACUUACCAACCCGAUGCAAACUGCGAAUACCGGAGAAUGUUAUCACGGGAGACACACGGCGGGUGCUAACGUCCGUCGUGAAGAGGGAAACAACCCAGACCGCCAGCUAAGGUCCCAAAGUCAUGGUUAAGUGGGAAACGAUGUGGGAAGGCCCAGACAGCCAGGAUGUUGGCUUAGAAGCAGCCAUCAUUUAAAGAAAGCGUAAUAGCUCACUGGUCGAGUCGGCCUGCGCGGAAGAUGUAACGGGGCUAAACCAUGCACCGAAGCUGCGGCAGCGACACUAUGUGUUGUUGGGUAGGGGAGCGUUCUGUAAGCCUGUGAAGGUGUGCUGUGAGGCAUGCUGGAGGUAUCAGAAGUGCGAAUGCUGACAUAAGUAACGAUAAAGCGGGUGAAAAGCCCGCUCGCCGGAAGACCAAGGGUUCCUGUCCAACGUUAAUCGGGGCAGGGUGAGUCGACCCCUAAGGCGAGGCCGAAAGGCGUAGUCGAUGGGAAACAGGUUAAUAUUCCUGUACUUGGUGUUACUGC
rnacentral:rRNA from 1 species